UGUGAUUUAAGCAUAAAUUUUAUUAAAAUAAAACAUGGAUUUGUUUCACAAAUAGUAUUUAUAUAUCCAUUGUCAUUUCUAAGUUUAUAAAAAAUACCAGAAUUUAUAAAUGCAUGUUCAAACAAAUAAAAUGUACUAUUAUUAAAGUUAUAUUUCAGUUAUCAGGCUACUGAGAUUUUACAAAAUGAGAGAAUUUGCUCAUCUCAGUUAAUAUAUUAUCCAAUUUAAUUUUUAGUAAUAGACAUGAAAAUUUUAAAUUGAUCACCACUUUCAUUCAAUUGACAUAAAGACUAUUGAUUACUUGUAGGAUUUGCUAAUCCAAAUAAGUGACUUUAAAAGUUGUCAAUCUACAUUGAUGUAAAUAUUUCAAUAUCAUACAGAUUAAAUACCUAACAGUUUUUUUUAAGUAUCUCCUUUAUUGCCUAUUUCCUACAUGUUUAACAAAAAACUUUUGGUGUGUUUAUUGCUUUAAAGUUUUGACCAUGCAAUUUUAUAUUUGUCUUUUGCAGAAUUUGUAUUCACUGGUUUUUUUUACUGCUUCCAAGUGAGUUGACAUGUAGGAAGUCUGCAUUUUGAUGUAAGCAUUCAAAUAUUAUAUUAUUGUUACUGACACUUUAAUAUUUUUUAGUCACAUGAAGUGAUAUGAAAGCUAUUUUAAGAUUAAUUGCUUAUGAGUUUAGAUUACUCUGUCUAUUAUAUUUAUGUGAACAUUAAGAAAGUAAACAAGCAUGGCAAUUAUUUUAUUACAAACAUGUAAGUUUACUAUUAGUUUAACCAACCACUGCUGAUACUAAGGGCUAUAGCUAUUAAGCUUACUAAAAUUUGAUUAUAUUGAAGUUCUCUUUUUGUAUCAGAAUAAGAAUAUAAAUAAGAUAAUUGUUAUGUUCAAAAUAUUAAUAACAGGGCACAUUAAGAGCAUAUUAUUAUAUAAAUCAAGUUCAAUGAUUGAAGUAAUAGAUAUUAUGCAUAUAUAUAGCAAUGGGGCUUAUAAAUUAAUUAUAUUGUGUAUAAUAAUAAUUAAUAUCAUUUUUUUGCAGGAUUUUAAGAUGAAUGAGAAACAAUGGCUACUUCCAAUACAAUAGCACAAUUGAUAAAAUGAAUAAGACACAAGGACUGCACUUUUCAUUCUAAGGAAGAUCAACAAAUGAUACCCAAACA
rnacentral:lncRNA from 1 species